ensembl:lncRNA
AGUAUCUCAAAUGUGAAUAAUAUGGUUAGAUUAUAUCAUGGAAGAAAUCAAAUGAAUAGUGCGUUCCCUUCCAGCUGAAUAACGGUGAAGAGGGACUAGAGGACGAGCUUCCACUGUUUCUGACUGUGUGCCGUUCUGUUCCCAUAAUCUGGAUGUACUCUCACUGACACUCACAAAGAGACUAGUAGGGAGUCAAAUAGGACAGCGAGCUAUCGGAGCUGUUACUAUGCAGUCAGGGAACACACAAUGGUCACUAAUGUUGUCUGUAGCUCUGGAGCCUGCCAGCUAUUCAGCCAGCCCAGCCAGCACUGCAGUACAUUUAAUCAGCCAGCCCAGCCAGCACUGCAGUACAUUUAAUCAGCCACCUAGCCAGCACUGCAGUACAAUUUAAUUAGCCAAGCCCAGCCAGCACUGCAGUACAUUUAAUCAGCCAGCCUAGCCAGCACUGCAGUACAUUUAAUCAGCCAGCCCAGCCAGCACUGCAGUACAUUUAUUCAGCCAGCCCAGCAAACCUGCAGUACAUUUAUUCAGCCAGCCCAGCAAACCAGCAGUACAAUUAUUCAGCCAGCCCGCCAGCACUGCAGUACAUUAUUCAGCCAGCCCAGCCAACACUGCAGUACAUUUAUUCAGCCAGGCCCAGCCAGCACUGCAGUACAUUUAUUCAGCCAGCCCAGCCAGCACUGCAGUACAUUUAUUCAGCCAGCCCAGCAAACACUGCAGUACAUUUAUUCCGAAGAAAAAAAAAGAAAAACAAAGGGAUGUAGUUUUCUAUAUAAAGUCCUUGUGGUUGUUACUAAGCAACAAGCAGAGAAUUACACUGUGCAGUGGGGCUGAUUGAAAUGUGAGAGAAGAGAGAGAAGAUUACAUGACAUGGCAGGCCGAGGGGCUAACUGCCUGCCUGCCUACUUGCAUGCCGCAGAGCUGACACUAUUCUCACACAACACAGGCCUGAGUGUGUUUUUGUCAACAGGCCAAUUUCCCAGGAUACAGUGCAGAAAGCAAUGCAGAAAGCAUUCACUCAGUAGUGAUCAAUCCUGAAUGACCAUGUCUGGUCUCUUGAAUGAUACACAUCUGGAUUUGAAUGGAUGAACACUAAUUCAGAUGGACUACCCAGACAGACAACCAUCUCACAGUGGCUCUUUUCAAUACAUCUAUGGUACAUAUCUUAACCUUGACACCCCCCCCCCCCCCAUUUGCUGGGUGGUGGUAAAGAGAGCCAAGCAGGAUCCUUUUCUCGAUUCCUUGCAUCCUUGUCCGAGUGAAGGGACCUUGGACCUUCUCCUUCAAUAUGGUUGAGAAGUAGGAGAGGAGUGAAUCUGCAGACUGCCUAAAUUAGAUAAUGCCUACCCUCUCUCAGACAGGAUCUCUCAACUAGAGACUAGUCCCCCCCCCCUCCAGUAGCAGCUGGCAGGCCUGUUAGGUAUAGGGCCAUGUCACUGAACCCCCUCACCAGUAGCAGCUGGCAGGCCUGCUAGGUAUAGGGCCAUGUCACCGAACCCCCUCACCAGUAGCAGCUGGCAGGCCUGCUAGGUAUAGUCUCUCAGACAGGAUCUCUCAACUAGAGACUAGUCCCCCCCCCCCCCCCUCACCAGUAGCAGCUGGCAGGCCUGUUAGGUAUAGGGCCAUGUCACUGAACCCCCUCACCAGUAGCAGCUGGCAGGCCUGUUAGGUAUAGGGCCAUGUUCACUGAACCCCCUCACCAGUAGCAGCUGGCAGGCCUGUUAGGUAUAGGGCCAUGUCACUGAACCCCCUCACCAGUAGCAGCUGGCAGGCCUGCUAGGUAUAGGGCCAUGUCACUGAACCCCCUCACCAGUAGCAGCUGGCAGGCCUGUUACGGUAUCAGGGCCAUGUCACUGAACCCCCUCACCAGUAGCAGCUGGCAGGCCUGCUAGGUAUAGGGCCAUGUCACUGAACCCCCUCACCAGUAGCAGCUGGCAGGCCUGUUAGGUAUAGGGCCAUGUCACUGGAUCUGUUAAUUUGCUCAAUGACUCACUAUGUGUGUUGCUGAGCGGAUGGACAUCUAAAAAAGACUAUCUAUCCUGACAUUAUCUUGUUUUGUACUCUAAUUGGUCGACAACCACCAGCUUCGACCAAUCACCCCACCUGGACCUUCUCCAGCUCUGUAAUUGGUCUACAACAGACGACCGCUGACCAAUCAUCUCCCUCCUUCACCAUUUCCUGUUACUGCUGACUUCCUGUUCCUGGUAUUAUUACUCACCAUGCUGCCCAUAUUUGGUAUGUCUUGAAAUCGAUCCAGGGUUUGAAAUUUCUGAUUCAGUUCUUGGAACAGCUCCAUGUGUCUUUUCCUGGUGUGCAUGACUUUCUGCAAUGGCAAGGGGUUCGUUUUUGGUUUGGAAAUCAAAGCCAGUAAUAGGAUGGAGAUUAUAAUGCAAUGUAUUAUCCUCUCCAACUAGUGCACCAUUCUGAAUAGCAUUUAAUCUGCCACUGGUAUUACGGCAAGCCUGAGACAUAUUAAAGGGGCCAAUGUCUUUUAAUGUAAGCCAGUUGAGUAAUUACAUAUAAUUUAUGGCCAAUUUUAUUAUCAAAUCUACCUUUUGCAUUUAUGCAGAAUARUCAGAUUAUAAAAAUUUGAUGGAGAAACGGAAUAAACCCACAGAAGUGGUGUGAGACAUUUGUGUCUUGGGCUGUCAGCCAAUGUCAUAUUUUCCAUAGAAAAAGUGCAGAAGUCAGGUGUGAAAUGUGCAUGUGACCUCAUAAAGCGUAACAGUUUUCAAAUCAACUCAUAGCCGAUGGAUGUAUGUAGGAGAUGGAGGGGAACAACAUGAGCGGGGGAGAUUUGCUGGCGGCCCUUUACGGGUUUAGAUUGACAGCGUUGCUUUUACCUUAACUACGCCACACAUCAAUACAUCUGUUUUGUGUCAAAACCAUGUUACUCCAAUAAGCUUAAGUGCUACACAAGGUAGUAGUAACAAUAGGUAGGGUAAACACAAAUGCUCAGUGUAACAACAGUAGUAAAUUAAAGGGUAGGGCGAACACAAAUGCUCAAUGUAACAACAGUAGUAAAUUAAAGGGUAGGGUGAACACAAAUGCUCAGUGUAACAACAGUAGUAAAUUAAAGGGUAGGGCAAACACAAAUGCUCAGUGUAACAACAGUAGUAAAUUAAAGGGUAGGGCAAACACAAUGCGCAGUGUAACAACAGUAGUAAUUAAAGGGUAGGGUAAACACCAAAAUGCUCAGUGUAACAACAAAAGCCUGAAGCAUGCACUUUGCCAACCUGUAAAUUGACUUACUUCAAGUCCAGAUCUUGGUAGCGCGAUUUUCUUCUCUGAAGACAAAACAAACAUAUGGCGGAUAAUUAGACGUCUGUUACAUGAGGGGUCAUUAACUUCUGAAUACUAGAGAAUUAUAAUUAUAUUAAGGAACACAAAUAACAUUCAACCAUGACAAAAUAAGCCCAUUUUUUUAUGGCAACAACGUGACGAUCUUCUCACUUGAACACAGCUACAAAUGUAUCUGUUUUACCUCAGCACAAUUUCUCAGUGGAACAUACAACAAACAAAACCUUAAUUUACUUAACCAACACUUCAACAGUCUUCUCCACUCCAGCCUACCUCAAGGUUAAAUCAACACAUCAACAGUCUUCUCCACUCCAGCCUACCUCUAAGGUUAAACCAACACGUCAACAGUCUUCCCACUCCAGCCUACCUCUAAGGUUAAACCAACACUUCAACAGUCUUCUCCA